rnacentral:rRNA from 1 species
GAUGAACGCUGGCGGCGUGCCUAAUACAUGCAAGUCGAGCGAACGGACGAGAAGCUUGCUUCUCUGAUGUUAGCGGCGGACAGGUGAGUAACACGUGGAUAACCUACCUAUAAGACUGGGAUAACUUCGGGAAACCGGAGCUAAUACCGGAUAAUAUUUUGAACCGCAUGGUUCAAUAGUAAAAGACGGUCUUGCUGUCACUUAUAGAUGGAUCCGCGCUGCAUUAGCUAGUUGGUAAGGUAACGGCUUACCAAGGCAACGAUGCAUAGCCGACCUGAGAGGGUGAUCGGCCACACUGGAACUGAGACACGGUCCAGACUCCUACGGGAGGCAGCAGUAGGGAAUCUUCCGCAAUGGGCGAAAGCCUGACGGAGCAACGCCGCGUGAGUGAUGAAGGUCUUCGGAUCGUAAAACUCUGUUAUUAGGGAAGAACAUAUGUGUAAGUAACUGUGCACAUCUUGACGGUACCUAAUCAGAAAGCCACGGCUAACUACGUG